rnacentral:rRNA from 1 species
AUACGUAGGGGGCUAGCGUUAUCCGGAAUUACUGGGCGUAAAGGGCGCGUAGGUGGUUUCUUAAGUCAGAAGUGAAAGGCUACGGCUCAACCGUAGUAAGCUUUUGAAACUAAGAGACUUGAGUGCAGGAGAGGAGAGUAGAAUUCCUAGUGUAGCGGUGAAAUGCGUAGAUAUUAGGAGGAAUACCAGUUGCGAAGGCGGCUCUCUGGACUGUAACUGACACUGAGGCACGAAAGCGUGGGGAGCAAACAGGAUUAGAUACCCUGGUAGUCCACGCCGUAAACGAUGAGUACUAGCUGUCGGGGGUUACCCCCCUCGGUGGCGCAGCUAACGCAUUAAGUACUCCGCCUGGGAAGUACGCUCGCAAGAGUGAAACUCAAAUGAAUUGAUGGGG